AACGUAGGACGCAAGCGUUAUCCGGAGUUACUGGGCGUAAAGCGCGGGCAGGCGGUUCUGCCAGUCUGCUGUGAAAUCUCCUCGCUCAACGGGGAGCAGCCAGUGGAAACUACAGAACUGGAGUCUGACAGAGGUAGGCGGAAUUCCCGGUGUAGCGGUGAAAUGCGCAGAUAUCGGGAAGAACACCCGUGGCGAAGGCGGUUCUCUGGGACGGUACUGACGCUGAGACGCGAAAGCGUGGGGAGCGAACAGG
rnacentral:rRNA from 1 species